GACGAACCGUGCGAACGUUAUUCGGAAUCACUGGGCUUAAAGCGCGUGUAGGCGGGAGGGCACGUCCGUCGCUGAAAUCCCCCGGCUCAACCGGGGAACGGGCGCGGAUACGACCUUCCUGGAGGGGCGUAGGGGGACCUGGAACUUCCGGUGGAGCGGUGAAAUGCGUUGAGAUCGGAAGGAACGCCCGUGGCGAAAGCGAGGUCCUGGACGCCUGCUGACGCUGAGACGCGAAAGCUAGGGUAGCGAACGGG
rnacentral:rRNA from 1 species